UCCAAAACCCAAAAACUUACCAGCCUCUCCAGCUUCUGCAUUUGGCUAUUGAACAUCUCCCCAUACCUCUUCAGUUGGAAUGGGGGUUUUGUGUAGCAACGCUGUUGUUGGAACCUUACCGUCGGCAACCCAAGCAUCCCAUUGUUAUUACCUUAACCCUUUGCUGAACGAUCCAUCUGAUACGUGCACUCCCAUAAAUUUGAUCACCCCAACCGACAAUCCUCACCGAGCUUGAGAAAAAUCUGCAACUUGCAAUUAGUCCCGCGAAGAAAGAUCAUCAAAUCAUUUUCUACAUGUCGCAGAGCAAUUAAGUCGAAUUCCAAUCCCUUAUUACAUAUAGGAAACCCGGGUAGACAGGCCUAGAGUUCUUCAGAGCAGAGAUUAAGAGUGCUAUUCAGGAUAGUAAACCGUGUCAGGUGUGGGUAAUUGCCUGGAGAGGCAGCUGCGCCUAGAAGUAGCGGACCAAGCAUGGGGUAUCACUUAAAGAGGAGGGCUCCGUCCUGUAAGGAGUGUGCAAUGGAGGGCUCCACCCUGUAAGGAGUGUUGUAAGUGGUUUUGCUCCACCCGAUUAACGGAGCAAGAUAGUGGAAUCCUCAAGCAGCAGGUUGGCUUGAGGCAAGGACGUAAGCGGGGGCAAUGCUGGCUAAAUGGAAAAGCAGCUUAUAUCCUUGUCUAGCCAUGCCAAAUAGAACAUUGUUGUUAAGAUACAAAAUGAGUAUGAUUAUAUGCUUGGGCUGAUCACAUGUGAAAAAUGAUGAUGCUUGGGCAACAAUUAUAUUAUAUUUUUUUAAAUGAUCAUCUUCCAACUAAUUGAGUUGCAUCUCAAAAGGACAUUUUGUAAACUUCUUUCUUUGUAGGAGAAAUUUAUUUUCCUUUUUAGGCACUUGUGUCGUGUGCGGGAACUAUUUCAUUUGACUAUCUCGAGACUAAUAAAAAUUGCUGUAAACCAUUUGAAUAUGUUCAAUAAGAAGUUUAAAAUUGAACAGUGCA